rnacentral:rRNA from 1 species
GACGAACGCUGGCGGCGUGCCUAAUACAUGCAAGUCGAGCGAAUCUUGAGGUGCUUGCACCUCUUGGUUAGCGGCGGACGGGUGAGUAACACGUGGGCAACCUGCCUGUAAGACUGGGAUAACUUCGGGAAACCGGAGCUAAUACCGGAUAAUCCUUUUCCUCUCAUGAGGAAAAGCUGAAAGUCGGUUUACGCUGACACUUACAGAUGGGCCCGCGGCGCAUUAGCUAGUUGGUGAGGUAACGGCUCACCAAGGCGACGGUGCGUAGCCGACCUGAGGGGGUGAUCGGCCACACUGGGACUGAGACACGGCCCAGACUCCUACGGGAGGCAGCAGUAGGGAAUCUUCCGCAAUGGACGAAAGUCUGACGGAGCAACGCCGCGUGAGCGAUGAAGGCCUUCGGGUCGUAAAGCUCUGUUGUUAGGGAAGAACAAGUAUCGGAGUAACUGCCGGUACCUUGACGGUACCUAACCAGAAAGCCACGGCUAACUACGUGCCAGCAGCCGCCGUAAAAC